AUGAACGCUGGCGGCGUGCCUCAUACCUGCAAGUCGCGCGAACGGACGAGAAGCUUGCUUCUCUGAUGUUAGCGGCGGACGGGUGAGUAACACGUGGAUAACCUACCUAUAAGACUGGGAUAACUUCGGGAAACCGGAGCUAAUACCGGAUAAUAUUUUGAACCGCAUGGUUCAAAAGUGAAAGACGGUCUUGCUGUCACUUAUAGAUGGAUCCGCGCUGCAUUAGCUAGUUGGUAAGGUAACGGCUUACCAAGGCAACGAUGCAUAGCCGACCUGAGAGGGCGAUCGGCCACACUGGAACUGAGACACGGUCCAGACUCCUACGGGAGGCAGCAGUAGGGAAUCUUCCGCAAUGGGCGAAAGCCUGACGGAGCAACGCCGCGUGAGUGAUGAAGGUCUUCGGAUCGUAAAACUCUGUUAUUAGGGAAGAACAUAUGUGUAAGUAACUGUGCACAUCUUGACGGUACCUAAUCAGAAAGCCACGGCUAACUACGUG
rnacentral:rRNA from 1 species